ensembl:lncRNA
CUUGCAUUGGAUCCAGUCCAGUCACUGAAGAUUUGCAGUACGCUCAUUGGAAUCAUAAUGGCAUGACCUGUUUGUUGUACAGUACAGAAGGUCUUUGCAGGAUGGCCGAUUUGAUGGAUGUAUGAAACCAAUUAUGCUGGAGAUGGCCAGAAGGAAUUCACGAUUUUCCACGUGUGUAACUGGUUUUUUGCUUCAGGAAAUCAUGUAUUUGCCAUACAUGAUUAAUGAUACUGUAAGCAGAUGUAUAAAUGCUGUCAUUUUUAAAACUGUUGAGUUGCAGUGACGUGAUAGACUUUCAUAGUCCACCAAAAAAAGAAGUAAUAAAGUGUUUACAUUCAGCUGCUCACCUAGACACACAGAUCAGACAUUUUAUUGUGCUAUAUAAAUUUUUUUAAAGUGUUGGCCUUGUAAAGUAUUUUGUAUUUGACUGGGCCCAGGAAAUAAAGCUUGUGCCAAAAGAAAAAUCUAAACAAGAUGACCUGUGAAUAUUCGGGACACCCAAAGGACCUUAGCACAAUGUUACUGCAAUAAACAGUUAUGAGUAAUAUAUAGAUAUUUUUAGCCCUACCUUUAGGUUUAUUUAGCUUUAUACAUGUAUGGAGUGUUCUUCAUUUUAUUUUUUUUUUACCCUUUAUGGUAAACAACUUUAUAGCAUGCUCUAUAUCUUAAUUACUUCUGUUGAAGACAGUCAAGUUAACAUCUUCCAAGUUUAAGGAAAUAGCGUGGAAGUUUAAGAAAUUGUAUGCUUCUGGGAUGAACAGUGGCUGCAGUAAGAUGAGC